rnacentral:rRNA from 1 species
CGGCUAACUCCGUGCCAGCAGCCGCGGUAAUACGGAGGAUCCAAGCGUUAUCCGGAAUCAUUGGGUUUAAAGGGUCCGCAGGCGGUCUUUUAAGUCAGAGGUGAAAGCCUACAGCUCAACUGUAGAACGGCCUUUGAUACUGAAAGACUUGAGUUAUUGUGAAGUGGUUAGAAUGUGUGGUGUAGCGGUGAAAUGCAUAGAUAUCACACAGAAUACCGAUUGCGAAGGCAGAUCACUAACAAUAUACUGACGCUCAUGGACGAAAGCGUGGGGAGCGAACAGGAUUAGAUACCCUGGUAGUCCACGCCGUAAACGAUGGAUACUAGCUGUUCGUCUAACAUUGGUUAGAUGAGUGGCUAAGCGAAAGUGAUAAGUAUCCCACCUGGGGAGUACGGUCGCAAGACUGAAAC